rnacentral:misc_RNA from 1 species
CGUUUUACCUUUUCCUCAAAAAAGUAGUGUCUACUGCUGUCACUUGGGGUUUUUUUCCCAGACCAUAUAUAGGGGAGGCAGCAUAGAGCAUGGCAAAGGUGCCUCAAGGUGCCUUGCCAUGCUAGCCCACUACGAGUGUACAAUGCACGGUAGUGCCUAACAAGUCCACCCGAUAAGACUAUGAUAUGAACUCGUCAAAUUUUAUCGGAGGGUAACGUUAGCUAUCGUGUGUUGUGCACCGUCGUGCAACGGGGUCGGUGAUGGAAAACGUGGUAUCUUACUUCGUGCCAAGCGGUGCAUGAUUGGGCUUGCUUGAUGCAUUCGUUGGCUCGUUCGGGUUGACGUUUUGCGGCUUGCUUGCUCGAAGCAUGUGUACGUCACGGUGCGUGAGUAGUGGUUGGCUUGUAUGGGUUGGUUGGAUCCCUGCUCGGGCAGCGACAUCCCCCAUGCAAGCCUCUUCAAUUUUCGGCCCAAGAGCAAGUUAGCCUUGGCCGUUUAUCGGUUUCCUGUGCUGUAUACCUACUAUAAUGGAAUUCGAACGUGCAAUAUUUUGUUAUUCGCCUUGUGCUGUCCCAUUGGUUGUCCCUUUGGGGUGCGGUGUCGGGUGAACCUCGAAGCGAUCUUCAUGUUCUUCGUCACCCACAAAAUGUGUUGUCGGCGCGGCACAUGAAGAUUGCUUGAGCUCUCGGAUGCGGAAUAUGCAUAGGGUAGUAGGCCUACAGCCUCUCUUUGCCCGAAUUAAGCGUUUAUUCGCUCAUUACCGAAUGACGGCCGGCGGUGCUUUGAUGUGUUGGAGCCCUCAGGUUUUGGCAUCAUCAUGCAUUGCUGGCGUCAGUGA